rnacentral:lncRNA from 1 species
GUCUGGGGCCAUGAGCUCGAACUCCUUGGGAAUUAUAACCCCUGUCCCUAUUCCUGUCCAUGUGCUCUCCUUCAGCGCUGACUCCUCUGCCAAAGCAGGGGUCUCCAAGGAUGCCAUCGUCACAGGCCCUGCCCCCGGGUCCUUCCACCAUGGCCUUGGCCACAGUCUUCUGGCUGGCUUGCACUCCAGCCCGCCCCAUGCAGCGCCUCUCCCACACGCUGCGGUGCCCACCCAUAUCCCGCAGAGUCUGCCAGGGAAAAUCCAGGUAGCAGCCAGAGGCCACAGUGCAAGACUUUGAGAGGAGCAGCUUUAAAUCUGUCCAAGUGUGAAAACUCCAUCAGAACAGAUUUGUGGGAGCACAGCAGGUGCUUCUCAGCUUCACGGGAAAGGGCCUGCUGUACCACGGAAAUUGUGACCGCUUCAGAGGCAAGGCUUGCCACUUGGGUCUGGGUGGAAUCAGAACGUGCAGGUCUCCCAGGAUGUACACUCACUGCGCCCUUUCUGCUGCUUGGUGUUCUUCUGGAGGAGCGUGAGUUCUCAGCGGAGCGCUUCUCGGCACUUCUGAUGUGCCUCCCAUGGAGGGAGCCGGGCCCUUGCUGCUCAGGAGGUGCAGACUGCCCCGUGCUCUGGGCCUUGCAGCUCUGUCGCUAGACGGUUGUUAGAGGGGCAGCUCUAGGCUGGGGCUUGCGCUGGGCCGUGGUGGGAGGCACAGUGUUUACAGGCUCUGGUGGCAGAGCAGUUGGCACACCUGUGGGUGAAUCUGCCUGAUCCCCUGGCAUUUGGUCAGAGUACCUCAGAGCACCCCACUGCUCAGGGGCUCCUUCUGGCUGCAGUAAGCUCCCUGGAUGGUCACAGUGCCGCCCCAUCCCCAGGCUGUGUGCUCAAAGCGGACAAAACUCAGGCCAGAGCCACAGCUGGGAGACCUGCACUGUCCCUGCGAAAUACUAAGAACACCUAGGGUGUGCUCACUGUGGGGGCCAGUUUCUCCUCGGAACAUGACAAUGAAGCUCUUUUAGAGAAAAGACCUUUGUAGAUUCAACAAUUAUGAUAGGAUUUUUACAGACACCUAUUUUGGGCUCAGUUUUCAUCAUUACCAUUAAAUGCAUUGGAUAGAAGGGGACUGUUCUUCACACAUCAUAUUAUAGGAAGACAUAAUUCCAGUGCCUUUAUGGUGGAGCAGAAUUCGACAACACAUGUCCAUUCAGCCCUCUGAAUGGAUCUGAGACGAAGACCUUUUUAAAGAUAUGUCUGUAUUGAAGAGAAAGCCAGUUUUGAGUUUUUUACACUUGCACAUCAUUAUCUGUGCCGUCCUGACUAGAAGGUUGUCUGGGCCCCCAAAUUCCAAGUCCCAGUAUAGCCAGGGCUCCCAUUUUGUUUUUCCAGAGUUCGUGGAGGUGGACUGCAGAGCCCAGAGCCCUUCAUCUCUCUGAGGGUCAAGGAUACCAGGGGUCCCAAGUCACAGAUAGACAUUCCAGUUUGUAUUCUUAGGAAUCAUUCUUAGGCAGUGCGGCAGAAGCAGGCCUCUGUGAAGUGUCUGCCGGGUAGAAAUAGGCCUUGAAGUCCUGGGGCUCUCCAGGCAGUGGGGUUAUGUGUCGACUGAAGGGUGAUGUGCAGAAGAGCUUGGAGAGUGGAUCAGAGAGACUAGGACAGUUACUGCAGAGCUCCUAAGUCACCACUCAACCAGUGGCUGUUUCACAAGGAUUUGAGGGCACUUGCCUGUCUUGUGAGGUCUGUGCCACAAGGUGAGUCUGAACUGACUGCUCCAGCUAAGUGAUCAGGCACGUUGAGAGUAUACGGUGUCCUCAGCACAUACACCUGUGGGAAAACGGACCGCUCUUGGCUCCUGACUCCCAGGGUACAGCGCCCAGUAACUCAUCCUUCAUUCAGAGGUUUGCUGGCCUUCCCGGUUUCCCAAGGAGCAAGACCUCUGUCCGCCCUUUGGCCCGGCCUCUGCUCUGUCUCCUUUUUUUACAUAAGAACCAAUCCGUGUUUCACAUUGGGCUAAGUGGAUUCCUUAUCCCUUUGUUAUAUAUAUUUUUUGCAACUUGGAUUUCCAGUUUGUUUACAGAGUAGUCUUAGGUAGUAGCAAAAGAGCCAAAGAAGAGAUUUGUAUUGCUGAGCUCAAAGCCAAGCAGAGGCCGGCAGUGGAGGCUGAGCAGGGACUCUCCAGGCUUCUCUGCCCAUAAACACCCGGGUCCCAGGCCCUCCUUCCUUUCCCUUUGGUGCUCCCUCCUCCCCACGUACCAUUGCGCGUGCAGCUGGAGCAGAAUACCCUCAUUUUUAGGAAUCUAGUGAUGCCUCUUGCCUCAGGGAAACGUUUCUUUGAUGGGGAGUUUGAGAUUUCUUUUCCUUGUUUAUGCUUUAUUUGUGGUAAUGAAAGAGCGAAUGACUGAACAGCCAUGGCAAGGCAGACCUACAGGCGAGGCCGCAGCAGAGGGUGGGGCAGAGCAGCCUCGGGGUCUGGGGGCUGCAGGGGUUUCCCUGGCGCAGCGAAAGUCUCUGAGCACUUACCGGGCGUGACCGUUUCUUAGGUGUGAGAGGGGCUGUGGCUUUUGUGCAGCGACUAUGUUGGUGUUAGGGGUGGUGUGGAGAUUGUUAAUCUUGUAUAAAGCAAUUCAAUAAAUUGUUUCAAGGUUUCCAAAA